GUGAGUCAUCGAAUCUUUGAACGCACAUUGCGCCCGCUAGUAUUCUGGCGGGCAUGCCUGUUCGAGCGUCAUUUCAACCCUCAAGCCCUGCUUGGUGUUGGGGUCCUACAGCAAUGUAGGCCCUGAAAACUAGUGGCGGGCUCGCUAUAACUCCGAGCGUAGUAGUAAUAUCUCGUUUAGGAAGUGUAGCGGGUUCUUGCCGUUAAACCCCCCAUUUUAUAAGGUUGACCUCGGAUCAGGUAGGAAUACCCGCUGAACUUAAGCAUAUCAAUAAGCGGAGGA
rnacentral:misc_RNA from 1 species